rnacentral:lncRNA from 1 species
AGCAAGCAAGAAUGGCAGCAGAUAUACAAAAGAAAAUUUAAAUUUUAAAAGUUCCAUAAUAGUUGGGACAUCCUUCUUCACUUGCUCUUGGACAUCAGAAGUAGAAGUUCUCUGGCCUUUGGACUUCAAGACCUGCACAAGCAGGCGCCCAGUUUCUCAGGCUAUCAGACUCAGAUUGAGAAUAAUACCAUCAGCUUCUCUGGCUCUGAGGACUUAGACUUGCACUGGACUAUGAUAUUGGCUUCCCUGGUUCUCCAGCUUGCAGAAGGCCUAAGACUUAUCAGCCUCCACAACUGUGUUAGAAGACAGAUGCUCCAACUUCCCGGGAUGCUCAGGAGUGUCAGCCUAGCUCCUGGGAUUCUUGAAGCACUUGAAAUCCUACUACAUCAUGCAAAAUUGGAUUUGGAUUAUUCAACUUCCAAUUUUAUUUUUUAUUUUAAUUUUAUUUUUGCACAUUGGCCAGUGCCUUGGAGAGCAAUAUAAAUCAGUAAGUCUCUCCUGGCAUUUUCCUGAUCUCUGCUACAUCAUCUCAAAACCACAAAAUUCAGAUGUACAGAGUAACAAAACAUUACUUGAAGUUGAUAUUAAUAUAUAGAAAAUAGAAAGUUCACAUCACAUUGUAUCAUAUUAAUGGUGAAUAAAAUAGAAGUUACUGACCCAAGGACUGAUUUAAUCUCUUCAAAAAAUUCAGUGC